UCCCUUGGUAACUAGAGAAACUGAAGUUUUCAAAGGUAACUGACUUGGUCAAGAUGACAUUCUCACAAGUGACUAUAGAUGCAAUUUAUGUGCUUUCUGCAGCACUUUAAAAUUACUACUUUGUUGCACAUAUACGGAGACUCUCACAUUUAGCUCAGGGUCUUUGCCAAGGCUGGGCACUGGAGGUACCUGGAAGUACUGUGCAGCCUUUCCUUACCAAGGUCAACCUCCCUGGGGCUCUGUGAAGGUGUACAGCAGGUGAAACUGCCCUUGCAAAGCCCACGCGUCCUGGGGGGAAAGGCUUCUCCUCUGUUCUCACUAUUCUGCAUCCUUAUACAAAGGCAUACAUCACUCCCUCUCCUUCCGGUAACUCCCCCAAUAAGCUGAGGUAUCUGAAUACAAUAGCUAGCAAAAUCUGUUGUCCUCAAGCAACUUCUGCUUCUAGUCCUGCAGCUAAACCUCUGCAGAAAAUAGGUCACAAGACACAAUUAAAAUCUCAGCAAAUUAUCCUGCCACACUUGCUUUGUAUACGCCAGGCCCUGGGGCUUUGUUUGUGCUUUGCCUUCCACCAAGAGCCUUCCUCCCCUUCUCCCCAAGCUAUCCAAGUUUUCUUAUCCCUCUCUCAUCAGGAAGCCCUCCUUGACCUCUUCACAGAAUGCCUGAGGCAUUCUCUGUCUCUGUCAAUGGCUUUAGCUAUUUUAUUUCCUGUCUCUGGCCUUUGUGACUUUUUUCUUCAAUCAGGUUGUUAGUUCCCGGUGGCUCUACUGUAUACCCAAAUUACCUAAUAAAGCAGUCACGUGCCUCAAAGUGAGGUUUGGAUUUGAAUCCUGAGCGAAUUACUCUCCCUCUUUGUGACAGCGUAAUAACCACAGAAUGUGGCUGGUAGUAUUUUUUCCUCAAUGGCUUUAUUAUAACUUUCUUGUUUGUCUUCUGACUAAAUCAAUGAUACAUUGUCAUUGUAAAAAACCCAAAAACUACACGGUACUAUAAACAAAAUGUAAAGGUCACAUGAAUUCCACCUUCUUGGUGUAAGCACCAUUAACAUUUUGUUGGCCAUCUUUCAUAUUUUUCUAUCUCACUACAAAGGUGUGUGUGUAUGUAUAUGAUUUGACAUUUCAUAUAAAUGGGCUUAUUUCAUACAUACUGGCUUUUUAAACUGGAGAAUAUGGAUCGUAUGCAAAAGCGUCAAGAAACAUUAUUUAAAUUAAAAAAAUACUAGCUGAAUCUGAGCUCCCAUAGCUUUCCCGUAGAAUGUGGAGAAUAAAGGAAAGCUGAAGUUGUCCCUGUGUCUAGGUGGGAUGUUACUGAAAGUGUUGCACUUACAUUAGCUUGGGGCCCAAAGUAUGUGGCACAAAGGACAAAGGAACAUUUUAAUUGGAAAUCCUAUAACACUAACAUCAGAUUUCUUCAGCCUAGAGCAGCUUUCAGACUUGGUCUGUAUUCUCAGUUAACCAGCUAGAAGGGCCCUUUAAUCACCCUGGUGGCUCUGUUCUGCAUAACCCUCCACUAUCUACAUCCUUUCAAGUUGGAUAUAAACUCCCCUCUUCCUCCCUUCAAAUAAACUGAAAAAGACAAAUAUGUUACAACUCAGAUCACUCCUUCUCAUAAAAUGACAAAUUAACAUAUUGAUUAGUAACGAUGUUAACAUUUACAUUAAAAAAAAAAAA
rnacentral:lncRNA from 1 species